UACGUAGGGUGCAAGCGUUGUCCGGAAUUAUUGGGCGUAAAGAGCUCGUAGGCGGUUUGUCGCGUCUGCUGUGAAAACCCGAGGCUCAACCUCGGGCCUGCAGUGGGUACGGGCAGACUAGAGUGCGGUAGGGGAGAUUGGAAUUCCUGGUGUAGCGGUGGAAUGCGCAGAUAUCAGGAGGAACACCGGUGGCGAAGGCGGCCCGCUGGGCAACUGCUGACACUGAGGCGCGACAGCGUGGGGAGCAAACAGG
rnacentral:rRNA from 1 species